ACUCCAGUGCUGUGGGGGAUGUGGGAGUGGAGAGCAAAGAUUGCCAUGAGCUGGGAGAUGCAAGAAAGUUGUAUAGACACAGUGACUUUAAAGGGUUAUAUACUCACCACGCUGUAGCUCCUGGGGUGCCACAGCCUGCAAAUGUCCUGGGAGGCAGAAGAGUUCAUCUUCUCCCACUGCUCCUUUUCCAGCUGAAGUCACAAUACUCAGUCUGUGACAUCACCGUUGGCUGCCGUGACAACGGAGAAUUUUCACUCCAGGUGGAGAAUGUGCAGCAGCAGCAGCAAACACUCUGUCGAGAGCAGAGAGCGUAUUUUUCUAUGCAUAUUGCUAAUCAUGGAGAAAGAAGGGAAAGGAAAAUCUGCAAGAAAAUCAAAUAUAGUAUUUCUGAGAGUGUGCUGCUGAGGUGGGCACACCCCAGACACUUUACCCUCCUGUGGAGACUUUACCUUCCAUAGGAUUUCUUUUGAAAUCAGUUAACAGCACUUAACUACAGUUGACUACAGUUUAUACACCAGUAGAAAAGUACUUACUUUUUUAAAGAGAGAGUGCGGGAGAGGGGUUUAAUUUAGAUUGAUGUAUCACUGGGAUACCUGAAUUGUAUCCCCAAGUUUUAUGGAGUUUUUUUGCUUUUUUUUCCUACACAAACCCCCUUUCAAAAACCAAGGGAAGAUAACUGAUACCCUGAUACUGCCACCACAUAUGUGGUGGGCUUUCAGUGCGUGAGUUGUCCUGCUGUGGUCAGUUAAGACAGUUCAUAUGCUUAAACUGAGACACAGGCCCACAUGCCAGUAGUGUGAGGGUCUUGCCAGCUGCCCUAGGGGAAC